rnacentral:misc_RNA from 1 species
AAAAAAAAAGAGAUUUUAAUAUGGAAAUUAAAAAUGAACAUAUUGACUCUUCCAUUAGAACAAACAGCCAUUUGUUGAAGGCAAUAUUAAAUGUUAAGAGAGAUUAAAAAAAGGCCUAAUUACACCAAAAAGCCAAAUCUUUGCAUCAAUUUGCUAUAUAAUCCAAAUCCUCUAAUUUUGGCAAUAUAGGGCCAAUUUUUGAAAUUGGUUGCAAUUUUUUUUAACAAACUCACUAAAUUGGUCAAAAUUGAAACUAAAAUAAUAUUGUAUCCAUUAAAAAAUUAAAAACAUUUUCACGAAUAAAGAAAAAGGAAAAUUGAAUAGAAAAGAGAAAGGGGAGAGAGAAAAGAAAAGAAAAGAA